rnacentral:lncRNA from 1 species
AAACGCCUACUCCAUUUCGUCGUCUUUUAGCAACAAUUCUAACUCUAUGUGCUCCGAAUGAUCCAAAAAAUCUGUGGAACAAAUUCAAAAUUUUUAUGAUUGAGGAUUUCAUACGUGCUGGUAUGUCGUUGCAAAUUGAUGAACUUAAAGCUCUUUUAGAAAUUAAUGCAACUUUAGAACUUUCUGGUAAAUCCAUUAAUAGUUACACUUUUGUAUCAUAUAACGUACAUCUACAUGAAAAUGAACACGUCGCUAGAGUAAUAAAUGAUGAACUAAGCAUUAAUGUGUCAGAAAUAGAUAUUAUGUGUCAUCGUCAACUUAAUACUGAACAAAAAAUGGCAUAUAAUGCAAUUUUAAGUAAAGUAGACACUAAUGUUAGUGGCAUGUUCUUUGUUGAUGGUCCUGGUGGAACAGGCAAAACCUUUUUAUACCGUGCAUUACUAGGUACUGUGAGGUCAAGACAAUUGAUUGCUUUAGCAACAACCUCCUCUGGUGUUGCAGCUGGUCUUUUGCCUGGUGGACAAACUGCACAUUCUAAAUUUAAAAUACCUCUAGAAUUUGUAGUGACACAAUAUGUAACAUUAGUAAACAGAGUGCUCAUGCAAAACUUUUUCGAAUGACAAAACUAAUCAUAUGGGAUGAAGCUCCAAUGGUAAAUCGAUAUGUAGUUGAAGCAUUAGACAAAAUGUUAAGAGAUGUUAAUGAUUGUGAAUUCCCAUUCGGAGGUAAAGUUGUUGUCUUAGGAGGAGAUUUUCUUCAAGUUCUACCUGUAGUUCAAAGAGGUAGUAAAGACGAUGUAAUAGGAGCAAGUCUUGUUAACUCUUACUUAUGGCCUUUAUUUACGAAACUAAGAUUAAGCGAAAUAUGAGAGCGCGAUUAGAUACAUCGUUUUCUAAAUAUUUACUUGAUAUUGGAGAUGGAACUGCAGAAAAACAUUCAUGUAAUAUGAUACAACUUCCUUCUAAAAUAACUAUAAAUUUCGAAGAACACAUCACUUCCUUACAGUCAUUAAUAGAUAUAGUUUACCCAAAUUCAAAUCAUUAUGUUGACAAUUUUCACUACAUGAUUAAUAGAGUUAUUUUAACUCCGAAAAAUGAGUACGUUGAUGAAAUCAAUAAUUUGUUAAUUAGUUGCUUUCCUGGAGACUCUCACACUUAUUUUAGUUUUGAUGAAACAAUUGAUACAACUAACCAAAGUAUGCAGGAAGACUUUUUAAAUAGUUUAACUCCGAAUGGUGUACCCCCGCACAAACUAAUACUAAAAUCAAAUUUUCGUGUCAUGUUACUUAGAAACAUUAAUCCUUCAGAAGGUCUCUGUAAUGGAAGUAGACUUAUUUGUAAAAGUUUUCGAAGAAAUAUUAUUGAUGCUGAAAUUGCAGUUGGAGAUUAUAAAGGAAAAAAGGUAUUUCUUCCUAGGAUACCUUUUAUUCCACUUCAAAGUGACAAAAAUCCUUUCCCCUUCAAAAGAACACAAUUUCCAAUUCGUCCAUGUUUUGCAAUGACAAUUAAUAAAUCUCAAGGACAAACACUUGAUUUUGUUGGUUUAUAUCUUCUUGAGCCAGUAUUUUCACAUGGCCAAUUAUAUGUCACUUUGUCUCGAGCCAAAAGUAGCAAAUGCAUUAAAGUUCUUAUCAAACCAACAAUAGCCCAAAAAUCACAUACGAAAUGUACUAAAAAUGUUGUUCACGAUGAAAUUUUAGCAAUGGUAAAUACAUGACAUUAUGUUCUCAUUUACAUUUGCCAAUAAUCAUUACAAAACAUAUUUUAGCGUUGUCAUUUUCUUUUGACCAUGAAGCGCGAAGCUGACUGAAAUUUGUAUUCUUCUUCUCUAUGAAAUUUGACCACAAUAGAGAACCCUGUAAAGUAUUACUGGCUUAUUAUUUGCUCAUUCUUUUUGUUCCACUUUAUUUUAAAAUUAUGCUUCUUUUUGGUCAUUACACUUGUAACACUUGAUAAUCUUUCUAAUUGCUCCACAGGAAGUUGUUUCCAAAGAACUUUAAGAAAAUGGAUCACACUGAGGAUAUUUUUGGUAAACAUUAGGACAAAUAUGAUCAUGAGG